rnacentral:lncRNA from 1 species
GAUCAGAAGAGGACUCUCCUGACCAGCCUGGGAAAAGUCUGAGCAGAGUCUGCAGGGGCAAAUACAACUUACUCAGACAAAAAAGGCUGUCAGCAGCAAGUCUAGGCAGAAGCCAGGAGGAGUUAGGAACAGACUAUAAGAAAUGGUUGGUCUGGAGGAAAAAGGGUAAAACUUAUGAGCCAUUCACUGAUGUAUUGGUAAGAGGACAGGAGUCCUGGGGAAAGACUGCCUCAUUUACACUCCAAAGACUUGGGUUCUGAUCUCCAUGUCGUGGCUUAUCAUAGUGUAAGCCAGUUAUGUACCUCUAGAAAUGGAAGUUUCUGCUGUUUAUAAACUGGAAAUAAUGAUACAUGUCCUGACUCCUAUUGGGUUGUUGCAAAGGAAUCAAUUGAAAUAAGACAAGACUUUCUGAAGGCACUUUGCCAACUUUCAGAACUGUAAAGAUUAAGGGACUGCUACUAUGUGCUGCUCAGGAAAUAACAGGCACCUGGGAAAACCCACGAAGUAAGGUUUUGUAAGAAGUUGCUCUGCUCCCUGGGAGAAAACGCGGAGCUCAACACUGCCAAGAGGAACAAGUCUGGGAAAUUACGACAUGAGGGCCCUUGUGAAUUGAUGAAUAUGAAGACACUAAGAAAGCAGAAAUAGAACUGAGAAGAAUGAAAUAACUGUCUCUACCUUUCUCGAAUUGUCUAAUAUGGAAAGAAUGAAAGACAGCUAAUAAGCAACUCUCUGCAAGAAGACAUAUGGCUUAGAAUCUACUUGGAGAGAGUCAAACACAGAAUCCCUUUGAAUUUAAUGGCCAUUCCAGGUGAUUUGAACAGCCAAAUAAGAAACAGGUCCUCUUCAAUGUACAAUCUGCCAAGUAUGAAGUCUGAAUGACCAUCAUUAUUAUGUAUUUAAUGUGCAUAGAAAAUCUAUCUGCAACCUUCCAGAGUGUACCAGAAGUUUGGAAUGUACAUUAUUAUUGGCUCCAUCUCAAACCACUCAUAAAUCAAAGAAAAUAGCAGUUCCAGAGGAAUCAUCAUAGAGGCUUCUAGGCCCCCAUGCUGUGUGAACCUGGUGAGAAAGGGAAGUCUGCUCUCACUGGACACUGGAACUGUUUGUCUCUGUCUCUGCUGUACUUUCCCUGCCUCUACCUCACUUAGUAAAGAAAUCAUCUUUGCUUGAUAACUAAAACAACCAAUAAGGCUGAGAAAGGGGAAAACCCACAUCUGGAUUUAAAUACAAGGUAUUGGGCCAGCUGCUGGGGAUUAAACUUUGAACAAAACAGAUAGAAUCUAUGUCCUCAUGGGAGUGGCUAAUGGGAGAGUCGGAACAAAAAAAUAGCCAAGGAUAAUCCAGCAAAUGAUUUGGUGAAUGCUAUCAAAGAGAGAAAUACACAUGCUCUGGGAACACCAAGUAGGUACCUAAUACCUAACCUGUACCUGGGGGGCUGGAAAGGGCUUCUUGGAAGAGGCAGAGACUAAAAUGAAGAAUAAGCAUAAGUUAAGACAAAGCUGGGGUGGGGUCAGAAAGAGUGUGAUAGGCCAACGCAGCAACAUGAGCCAAGACUCAAAAAUAAGAGACAGUGUGGCACAUUUGAUGUAGGAAAGACAUUUAGCUGGGAUAGAAAGAAGGCUAGUGUUGGGGCUGAAUGAGGUUGCAUAAAAGUUUGUAAGCCAAGUUAAGGAAUUGAUCAAAUUUAUAUUUUAGAAUGAUCACUCUGACCUCAGCAUUACAUGACCUGAAGGGGUUAAGCCCAUACAUCUGUAGAGAGACCCGUUAGAAUAGGACUGCAGUAAUAUGGUGAGAGACACUGGUGCCUAACUAGGCUGGUGAUCAUAGAGAUAAAGGGAUAUAUGGGAGAGGUAGAGCCGACAGCCAUUGAUAACUGGUGGUCGGCCAGGUCAAGGGGACAGUGUCUGCUUUAGGUAAUUGGCUUGAUGAUAAUCUCAUUUUCAAAGAUCAGGAACACAGGCCUGAGAGUACAUUUGGAGAGGAAGAUGAUUCGGGUUUGCAUCAUGUAGGGUUCGAGGUGUCUAUGGGACACUAUAUGCAGAAGUCCAGUAGGCAAUUGGUUCUGUGGGCCUAGCACUCAGAGGAGAGUGCGAGUCUAAUGACAGAAAAUUGGCAGUCACCAUCGUGUAGAUGGUAAUGGAUGGUAUGAUUUGGGGUGAUUGCUGAGGCAGGAACAUGGGCACAAUGCUGAGGAGUGCAAAUGGCUAAGGGAUGGGACACAGCAGGAACCUGCAAAGGAGCCCAGAAAACAAGAAAUAGGGAGAAAGCCUGGGAACACUGUGAUUCUACGGAAUCACAGAAUUGAAGACAAACAAUGUGAAACUAAGUACAGGCCCAUUUACUAACAUAUGUGUGUGUAUAUAUAUAUAUAUAUAUAUAUAUAUACACACACACACAUAUAUAUACUUAUAUAUAUAUACACACACAUAUAUAUACUUAUAUAUAUAUACACUUAUAUAUAUAUACUUAUAUAUACUUAUAUAUAUAUACACUUAUAUAUAUAUACUUAUAUAUACUUAUAUAUAUAUACACUUAUAUAUAUAUACUUAUAUAUACUUAUAUAUAUAUAUAUAAAAUUUAUUUAUUUAUUUUUAUUUUAUUUUAUUUAUUUAUUUUUGAGACAGAGUCUCCCUCUCUGACCCAGGCUGGAGUGCCGUGGUAUGAUCUCGGCUCACUGCAACUUCUGCCUCCCAGCUUCAAGCAAUUCUCCUGUCUUAGCUUCCCAAGUAGCUGGGAUUACAGGCGUGCACCACCACACCAGGCUAAUUUUGUAUUUUUAGUAGAGACGGGGUUUUGCCAUGUUGGCCAGGCUGGUCUCGAACCCCUGACCUCAGGUGAUCUGCCCACCUCAACCUCCCAAAGUGCUGGGAUUACAGGUGUGAGCCACUGCAUCUGGCCUCAUAUAUUUUACUAUAACAAAUCAGUGUAGGCCAAAUAAAGUUAGAAAUGGAAGCUAAUGGAAAUAAAGAAUAGGCUUUCCUGUUAGUAUCUAUAGGUGUGUGUGUGUGUGUUCGUUAUUUAGGGAAAGAAACAGGGAACUUGGGGCAUAUAAUAUUUAUGUUCCCUUAGCUUAGGCAUAUAUGGUAUAUUUAGUUACUUAAUUAAUUUUUUAUUUAGAAGUUAUGUAUAGAGCAUUUUUCCUAGGCCAGUGGGGGAUUAAACCAGAAAUAUAAGAAGUGUCUGCCUUCUGGAAGCUUGUGAUCUAGUUAGGGGUAUCACAAGUGCACAGCGUUCACCAGUGGCAGAGAAGCAUGUGAUGAGUACCCAGAGCUUAUAUUGAGAAUAAGGUAUACAAGAAUUUAGAGGAGGCCAAUGUUGAUUUUCACCAAGAGUAUGGGACAGAGAGACAAGACAGGGUUGGUCAUCUAGUUCUGUGCACUGAAUAUAAUUUUGCAGGUUUAGGAGUGUUUGAAAACUACAAGGAAGAUAGAAUCUUGGUCUUGUUCUCCAGCAUGCCCUUUCUUGAACUCACCAGGGUAAUGCUGCAUCUUUUCAGAAAUGCCUCUGGCUUCUCAAAGCAACUUUCAUCCUGGAGAGGAACAAUUAGUCUUUGUCUUUCAUUAGUAAAAGAUUUAACGGCUCAGAAGGAGAAGCUAGUGGUGACUUUUCAAUCACCCCUUCUACCUCCCAG